CACAACAAAAUGUGAGUGAAGCAUAAACAAGUAAGGGGGAGGAAGAAUGAGGAAGAGUGGCACCGUUGCAUCAAGCUUCGGCCUCUGGUACCAAGAACAACAGCAGCAGGCUUCAACCUCGCUGCUUCCUUACAAAUUGCCUUCCUUCACAAUCCUAGCCUUCGACUUCACCUAUUUGUAAUGUGAUAAAUUCUAUAUAAAAGUACCAUUAAAGCUAGAAAAUAGCAAAUCCAUUUAUGACUGGACUUUUAUUUUCCUUUCUCCCCUUUCAAAAGUCAAAUGAGUUUUAUAGAAACAAUACAAACAAGAGUUUCACUUCUCUCGAGUUGUACUCUUCUUCCUCCAUUAACGUAUCCAUUUCGUUGACUUGAUUCUCUAUUUUUUCCUCUCUCUAUAUCAGCUUUGAUUUGAUUUUAAAAUUAAAAACUGACGAUGGAAUUGAAGAAAUUUGUGGGGUUUUUAUGCAACAACGAUAUGAAUCUCGUACGCGGUGCUUGGGCAUGUGAUUAUUUUGAGAACAGUAGUCUCAGGUGGACGAACGGAGGGGAGGUGGAGGCGGAGGUGGCGGUAAUUGAUUUUGGGUUUGGUGUGGGUGUGGGGGUGCGGGUGCGGGUGAGGUGCGACGAU
rnacentral:lncRNA from 1 species